CGAGGCGUAGCGCAGUCCGGUAGCGCACUGCGUUCGGGACGCAGGGGUCGGAGGUUCAAAUCCUCUCGCCUCGACAA
rnacentral:tRNA from 1 species